rnacentral:rRNA from 1 species
AGAGUUUGAUCCUGGCUCAGGACGAACGCUGGCGGCGUGCUUAACACAUGCAAGUCGAACGCUGAAGCCCAGCUUGCUGGGUGGAUGAGUGGCGAACGGGUGAGUAACACGUGAGUAACCUGCCCUUCACUCUGGGAUAACUCCGGGAAACCGGUGCUAAUACUGGAUAGGACUCCUGCCUGCAUGGGUGGGGGUGGAAAGAUUUAUCGGUGGAGGAUGGACUCGCGGCCUAUCAGCUUGUUGGUGGGGUAAUGGCCUACCAAGGCGACGACGGGUAGCCGGCCUGAGAGGGUGACCGGCCACACUGGGACUGAGACACGGCCCAGACUCCUACGGGAGGCAGCAGUGGGGAAUAUUGCACAAUGGGCGAAAGCCUGAUGCAGCGACGCCGCGUGCGGGAUGACGGCCUUCGGGUUGUAAACCGCUUUCAGUAGGGACGAAGCUUUUGUGACGGUACCUACAGAAGAAGCACCGGCUAACUACGUG